GUAAGAAAGAAAAAGAUGUGAGAGGGGAAAAGAAAGGAAAAGUGAGAGAACCCUCCUACACUCACCAGUCUGUUAUUUCUAAAAACGACCCUCCAGGCUCUCAGGAUGGAGUGACGCAUCUCUGGCUACCUUGGAUUUACUUGUUUUCUGACACACACCACACACAGAGACACACACACAAACCGAGUGUGCCUCCAGGGAAAGGACCAACUGACAGCCAGGGAGGAAGACGGGAGGAGGUGAAGAGGAUGACUGACAGGAGAGGAAGAUGGAGAAAUCACCAUUGACAGAGAGGAGGAUGAGGGGAAAGAAGAUGGAGAGAGAAGGAAAACAGUGAAAAAAGGUCCAACGUGCUCUGACUGGUCCCACACAUCCUGGCUCAGAAGAUACACAGAUACUCACAUGGACACUCUCAUGUACUCAUGCUCCUGGGAACAUGGAAGCGUGCAACCCACACUUGAUCAUACACACACCCCUUCACGGUCAUUUGCACCCACACCUGCAUGCAUGCAUGCAAACACUCCCCCCCACACAUGGUAAUUCUCUGGUUUGUCACAGUACUUCUCCUCUCAGUUACAUGAAACAGAAAAAAGGACAGUUAAGGUGGAGGACAGAAAAAGAUGAAAGUGAAUGAAGCAAAAAGGAGGAAUGUAAAUUGACAGGAAGUGUGUUUUGGUUCCCUUUCAAAUGUAUGUCACACCAGGUUGUAAAGAGGCCGUCUCGCAGUGAAAACAGCAUGAC